rnacentral:rRNA from 1 species
UGGGGAAUCUUGCGCAAUGGGCGAAAGCCUGACGCAGCAACGCCGCGUGGGGGAUGAAGGCCUUCGGGUUGUAAACCUCUUCACCAUCGACGAAGCCUUUCGGGGUGACGGUAGGUGGGGAAGAAGCACCGGCUAACUACGUGCCAGCAGCCGCGGUAAUACGUAGGGUGCGAGCGUUGUCCGGAUUUAUUGGGCGUAAAGAGCUCGUAGGCGGUUUGUCGCGUCGGCCGUGAAAACCUACAGCUUAACUGUGGGCUUGCGGUCGAUACGGGCAGACUUGAGUUCGGCAGGGGAGACUGGAAUUCCUGGUGUAGCGGUGAAAUGCGCAGAUAUCAGGAGGAACACCGGUGGCGAAGGCGGGUCUCUGGGCCGAUACUGACGCUGAGGAGCGAAAGCGUGGGGAGCGAACAGGAUUAGAUACC